AUCCGGAGGCAGGAGGGUGAAGAUUCAAGGCUAUUCCUUUCACACUGCAGUACUCUCACCUCCCGCUCCAUUUCUUGCCGGGAGGGAUUAUUUUUUAUUUUAUUUUUAGCUCCCACUUACCGUCCCAUUCAAGGGAAUCGGGGGAGUGAAUUUUUUAUGGAUUUUUUACGAAUCGAGACAAAUUGAAGGAAGAAAAAGGCCUCCCGCCUCCUGCUUCAUUUACUUGACGGAUUGGAACGGAUUCGGAACGAAUUAUAUUUUUCUAUAUUUUUUGUUCCCACUUACCGCCCUAUUCGGGACGGAUCGGAGCAAGAGCUCCACCAAUCCAGAUCCAUUUGCAUCCCUAGUCUAGGGCAGGCUCCACGAAGUUCAUCUGAAAGAGAAAAUCUGAAUCAAGAAUUAGAAAAGUAUGAUCUUUUCGGAUCCAUCAUAUACAACUAAAGAGUUGUCUACCACUCAUUAUGAUUCCAACCUGAUCAUUUAGAAAUUUUCUUUUAAGUGAUCCCAUUCUUAAAUCAUUUUUU
rnacentral:lncRNA from 1 species